AUAGGUAUGUUGGAAUUGGUAGACAAGUUCCACUUAGGAUGGAAAGGAUAAAACCGUACAAGUUCAAGUCUUGUUACCUAUA
rfam:Eutypa lata TCREL1 unplaced genomic scaffold EL1_03_scaffold_1008, whole genome shotgun sequence.